CCGGGGAGGGUCAUUGGAAACUGGGGAACUUGAGUGCAGAAGAGGAGAGUGGAAUUUCCACGUGUAGCGGUGAAAUGCGUAGAGAUGUGGAGGAACACCAGUGGCGAAGGCGACUCUCUGGUCUGUAACUGACGCUGAGGAGCGAAAGCGUGGGGAGCGAACAGGAUUAGAUACCCUGGUAGUCCACGCCGUAAACGAUGAGUGCUAAGUGUUAGGGGGUUUCCGCCCCUUAGUGCUGCAGCUAACGCAUUAAGCACUCCGCCUGGGGAGUACGGUCGCAAGACUGAAACUCAAAGGAAUUGACGGGGGCCCGCACAAGCGGUGGAGCAUGUGGUUUAAUUCGAAGCAACGCGAAGAACCUUACCAGGUCUUGACAUCCUCUGACAAUCCUAGAGAUAGGACGUCCCCUUCGGGGGCAGAGUGACAGGUGGUGCAUGGUU
rnacentral:rRNA from 2 species